rnacentral:rRNA from 1 species
CACGCCCUAAACGAUGAUCACUAGAUAUUGGCGACAGACAGUCAGUGUCCAAGCGAAAGUGAUAAGUGAUCCACCUGGGGAAUACGGCCGCAAGGUUAAAACUCAAAGGAAUUGACGGGGGCCCGCACAAGCGGAGGAGCAUGUGGUUUAAUUCGAUGGUACGCGAGGAACCUUACCUGGGUUAGAACGUAUGAUAGAUGUAGCUGAAAGGUUACAGGCCUGCGAGGGAUAUCAUACGAGGUGC